rnacentral:rRNA from 1 species
GACGAACGCUGGCGGCGUGCUUAACACAUGCAAGUCGAACGGGCCCGCUCUCUUUUUUGGGGGUGGGUUGAGUGGCGAACGGGGGAGUAUCACGGGAGUAACCUGCCCCCUGCUCCUGGAUAACUGCUUGAAAGGGCGGCUAAUACGGGGUGUGCCGGCUGGUCCGCAUGGGCCGGGUCGGGAUAGAUUCAUUUCCGGGUGUUUCGGGGGGGGAUGGGCUCGGGGCGUUUGAGCUGGUUGGGGGGGGGAUGGCCCACGAAGGCGGUGGUGGGUAGCCGGCGUGGGAGGGUGGGCGGCCAGACUGGGAGUGAGACACCGCACAGAUUCCUGCGGGAGGCAGCAGUGGUGGGUGUUGCACAAUGGGCGGAAGCCUGAGGCAGCGACGUCGCGUGAGGGAUGGAGGCCGUCGGGUUGGGAACCUCUUUCUCCGGUGGUGAAGGCCCUGUAAGUUGAGGCGGGGUUGACGGUAGCCGGGUAUGAAGCGCCGGCUAACUACGUG